rnacentral:lncRNA from 10 species
AAAGCUUCCCAAGUCCUCCCCAGAAGCAGAUGCUGGCGCUAUGCUUCUGGUACAGCCUGAAAAACCUUGAGCCAAUUAAACCUCAGGGAGCUCAAGAUGUCUUUGUUGAAACAGAACCUCCCGAAGUUACAGUAUUGGUUUUGGGGCUCCACACAGAGAACACAUCACGGAAGCUAUAAUUGAGGAAGACAAAGCUGUCAGGACGACACCAAGAGAGUUAGAAAGCCCAAGAGUGGAGCAUUCUUCACCAUGAUUCCACCUGACACUUGGCUGAAAGCAUUUUGCACUAAUUUGCUUUGUGCCCGUUCAGACAAUCUAAAAAGAAAGGAUGGGGGGACAACAAGUGUCUAUUACACAGAAUAAACAGCCUCUGGCAAAUGAAUACAUU